UAAACCUUAGAUUUCCUAUAUAAGGAAUAAAUAAUAAGCAUAUGGAGAACAUAUAUAUACACAUAUAUAUAUAUGUCAUGUAUAUCUGGAUAUAAUGCAGUAUUGAUUAUAACUCAAGGUAACAAAAAAGUCUGAUUUAUUUGUGAAUUGAUAGAUUCAUUAUCAGUUAAAGUGUAGGUUAAAAAGUGGUUUCCAUUAUGUAAUGCUGGAUAAAGGAAUCUUAUACAGAUACAUUGAUGCUUAGACUGAUCGAUGCAAAUAUGGCUGACUAGAAUAAGGAGUGGACUUAUGCGCAGAAAACAUGGUUGAUUUCAUGCUAAAUUUAUGGUUUGAUAAAUAGAUUGGUUAAAGGAGGAAUGACACUUUAGUAAUAGACUGGUACAGUAAUAAAACUAUAUAUGUUAAACUGAAUGUAAAGAUGGACUAUUGAGAGAUGAAGGUGAUACAUGCCACAUACACUCAUUUGUUAUUUAUGAAAGUAGAAAAUCUGGGCCAACAAAAGGACACUUGCUAUUUUUCCAGGCUCAGGACCCAGGUUUGCCUUUAACACCCACUGUAUGGGUGGAAUUUCAGUGCAGUAUUGCAUAACCCCCCACCCCAAUCUCUGAAAAGAACAGUCUGGAGCAGUGACAAACCAGUGAUGGAAAUUCAUACUCUACCACCCCCUCCCCCAAAUUAAAAAAAAAAACAGUUUAGGGCCCUCAAGGUAGCACCUGGGAGGUGUCUUCUCUACUUUGUGCUUGAUCUGGGUUUGAGCCCUUCCCUGCCCUAUUGUACUACACUGAGUGAAACUUCAGUGCUGUUGUGUAGAUCUCUCUGUCCUUCUUCCUUCAUACCGUGAAAAGUUCGCUUCAAGUGACGAAGCCCCAGUAAUAAUAACUAGAAAAUUUUAGCACUUGAAUUCUCUGAGUAUUGUGAUAAUUGAUAAAAACAAGUUACCUAUACAAGCAAAAAAAAUAAAAGUGGGGUUUCAUAGAAGUAGUCCCCCCACAUUUUAUUUUCCUUUAAUGAUUUGGGAAUGUGUUGGAAGUUUAUUAAAGAACCAAUUUUGCAUUCUACAUUUGACUGGCCAUGGUCUAUACUACAAUUUUCCCAUGUUUUCCACAGUUUCAUAAGAGAUGACACCGAUUAAUGAAAAGAGACAAUUUAGAAGCCUUACUACCUGACAAUUGUAUAUCACUCCAAAUUCUUGUACUUGUUCAUGAUCUAUGUGAACUUCAUUCUUCACAAGUACUGCAUGGAUCAAAGAGAUUACGACUAUUGAUGAUGACCCUGUGGACAAGAGGAUCACAGAUACCCUCUACAGUGGUUCCCUCCACAGAAAUAGCUAAAUAUUCUCAAUAUUAAUCCUUCAGGAAGUCACUGUGUCUUUGUAUUCCAAAGGCCACAACUUUUAUAUAUGUAUCCCUAGAAUAGAAGUGAUGUCAUUUUUUAUAAGUAAUUGAUUAGAAGUGUUGAUUACUCUACCAUUUAUCUAUCUAUAUCUUAUGGUUUAUUGUAUUGUUGCAUUUUAACCCAAGUUUGCUUUACAAAUGGGAGUGUUAUUUGCAUAUGGCAAGUGCAAUUGAUGGAUACCUUAGAUCCAUUUUGAUAUCCAACAAACUUUGUUAGAAACAAAGUCCCCUCUGUAAGAUACUGAGUUCUUGAAUUUGUAUCAUGGAUAUGAAUAUGUCAUUUUUAGAAUAGUUCUUAACUCUAGUCUAGUAGCAGAAUCUGUCUGUAGUUAACCUCUUAACCAAUGCCUGAAGGUAAGACUUGAAUAUAUUCACAGAUGUGGUUGUCUAAGGAGGAGAUACACCCUUACAUUGUCAUUUUGAGUCAUGAUAUAUUGUAGAAUAUGUGGUUGUAUGCUUUCCUAGGUGUUUUUGGAGUAAAAAAAAAUUCUGUAAAUAAUGAGAUUUAAUUUGUAUCCUUACUACCCUAAAAUUCAUUUACUACCUAUUUAACUCAAGUGGACUUAUAUAGAUACCUACAUUUAUUGUACGAUUUUAUUUUGUACUUCUGGAAUGUAAGUUGAACUGUGAUACAUUAGUAUGCUACUAUCAAUAAAUUGUCUGUUUCAAUAGAUUAGCUUCCCCUAGCACACAAAAGCUGGGCCACCAUAACUGAGUCUCAGUCAUUAAAUAAUUUAAAACAAA